rnacentral:rRNA from 1 species
GGGACACGUGGUAUCCUGUCUGAAUAUGGGGGGACCAUCCUCCAAGGCUAAAUACUCCUGACUGACCGAUAGUGAACCAGUACCGUGAGGGAAAGGCGAAAAGAACCCCGGCGAGGGGAGUGAAAAAGAACCUGAAACCGUGUACGUACAAGCAGUGGGAGCACGCUUAGGCGUGUGACUGCGUACCUUUUGUAUAAUGGGUCAGCGACUUAUAUUCUGUAGCAAGGUUAACCGAAUAGGGGAGCCGAAGGGAAACCGAGUCUUAACUGGGCGUUAAGUUGCAGGGUAUAGACCCGAAACCCGGUGAUCUAGCCAUGGGCAGGUUGAAGGUUGGGUAACACUAACUGGAGGACCGAACCGACUAAUGUUGAAAAAUUAGCGGAUGACUUGUGGCUGGGGGUGAAAGGCCAAUCAAACCGGGAGAUAGCUGGUUCUCCCCGAAAGCUAUUUAGGUAGCGCCUCGUGAAUUCAUCUCCGGGGGUAGAGCACUGUUUCGGCAAGGGGGUCAUCCCGACUUACCAACCCGAUGCAAACUGCGAAUACCGGAGAAUGUUAUCACGGGAGACACACGGCGGGUGCUAACGUCCGUCGUGAAGAGGGAAACAACCCAGACCGCCAGCUAAGGUCCCAAAGUCAUGGUUAAGUGGGAAACGAUGUGGGAAGGCCCAGACAGCCAGGAUGUUGGCUUAGAAGCAGCCAUCAUUUAAAGAAAGCGUAAUAGCUCACUGGUCGAGUCGGCCUGCGCGGAAGAUGUAACGGGGCUAAACCAUGCACCGAAGCUGCGGCAGCGACGCUUAUGCGUUGUUGGGUAGGGGAGCGUUCUGUAAGCCUGUGAAGGUGUACUGUGAGGUAUGCUGGAGGUAUCAGAAGUGCGAAUGCUGACAUAAGUAACGAUAAAGCGGGUGAAAAGCCCGCUCGCCGGAAGACCAAGGGUUCCUGUCCAACGUUAAUCGGGGCAGGGUGAGUCGACCCCUAAGGCGAGGCCGAAAGGCGUAGUCGAUGGGAAACAGGUUAAUAUUCCUGUACUUGGUGUUACUGCGAAGGGGGGACGGAGAAGGCUAUGUUGGCCGGGCGACGGUUGUCCCGGUUUAAGCGUGUAGGCUGGUUUUCCAGGCAAAUCCGGAAAAUCAAGGCUGAGGCGUGAUGACGAGGCACUACGGUGCUGAAGCAACAAAUGCCCUGCUUCCAGGAAAAGCCUCUAAGCAUCAGGUAACAUCAAAUCGUACCCCAAACCGACACAGGUGGUCAGGUAGAGAAUACCAAGGCGCUUGAGAGAACUCGGGUGAAGGAACUAGGCAAAAUGGUGCCGUAACUUCGGGAGAAGGCACGCUGAUAUGUAGGUGAAGUCCCUCGCGGAUGGAGCUGAAAUCAGUCGAAGAUACCAGCUGGCUGCAACUGUUUAUUAAAAACACAGCACUGUGCAAACACGAAAGUGGACGUAUACGGUGUGACGCCUGCCCGGUGCCGGAAGGUUAAUUGAUGGGGUCAGCGCAAGCGAAGCUCUUGAUCGAAGCCCCGGUAAACGGCGGCCGUAACUAUAACGGUCCUAAGGUAGCGAAAUUCCUUGUCGGGUAAGUUCCGACCUGCACGAAUGGCGUAAUGAUGGCCAGGCUGUCUCCACCCGAGACUCAGUGAAAUUGAACUCGCUGUGAAGAUGCAGUGUACCCGCGGCAAGACGGAAAGACCCCGUGAACCUUUACUAUAGCUUGACACUGAACAUUGAGCCUUGAUG